rnacentral:rRNA from 1 species
GACGAACGCUGGCGGCGCGCCUAACACAUGCAAGUCGAACGAGAGAUGAGGAGCUUGCUCUUCAAAUCGAGUUGGCGAACGGGUGAGUAACGCGUGAGGAACCUGCCUCAAAGAGGGGGACAACAGUUGGAAACGACUGCUAAUACCGCAUAAGCCCACGGCUCGGCAUCGAGCAGAGGGAAAAGGAGCAAUCCGCUUUGAGAUGGCCUCGCGUCCGAUUAGCUAGUUGGUGAGGUAACGGCCCACCAAGGCGACGAUCGGUAGCCGGACUGAGAGGUUGAACGGCCACAUUGGGACUGAGACACGGCCCAGACUCCUACGGGAGGCAGCAGUGGGGAAUAUUGCACAAUGGGGGAAACCCUGAUGCAGCGACGCCGCGUGGAGGAAGAAGGUCUUCGGAUUGUAAACUCCUGUUGUUGAGGAAGAUAAUGACGGUACUCAACAAGGAAGUGACGGCUAACUACGUGCCAGCAGCCGCGGUAAAACGUAGGUCACAAGCGUUGUCCGGAAUUACUGGGUGUAAAGGGAGCGCAGGCGGGAGAACAAGUUGGAAGUGAAAUCCAUGGGCUCAACCCAUGAACUGCUUUCAAAACUGUUUUUCUUGAGUAGUGCAGAGGUAGGCGGAAUUCCCGGUGUAGCGGUGGAAUGCGUAGAUAUCGGGAGGAACACCAGUGGCGAAGGCGGCCUACUGGGCACCAACUGACGCUGAGGCUCGAAAGUGUGGGUAGCAAACAGGAUUAGAUACCCUGGUAGUCCACACCGUAAACGAUGAUUACUAGGUGUUGGAGGAUUGACCCCUUCAGUGCCGCAGUUAACACAAUAAGUAAUCCACCUGGGGAGUACGACCGCAAGGUUGAAACUCAAAGGAAUUGACGGGGGCCCGCACAAGCAGUGGAGUAUGUGGUUUAAUUCGAUGAUACGCGAGGAACCUUACCCGGGCUUAAAUUGCAACAGAAUAUAUUGGAAACAGUAUAGCCGUAAGGCUGUUGUGAAGGUGCUGCAUGGUUGUCGUCAGCUCGUGCCGUGAGGUGUCGGCUUAAGUGCCAUAACGAGCGCAACCCUUAUCUUUAGUUACUAACAGGUUAUGCUGAGGACUCUAGAGAGACUGCCGUCGUAAGAUGUGAGGAAGGUGGGGAUGACGUCAAAUCAGCACGGCCCUUACGUCCGGGGCUACACACGUGUUACAAUGGGCGGUACAGAAGGCAGCUACCUGGCGACAGGAUGCCAAUCCCAAAAGCCGCUCUCAGUUCGGACUGGAGUCUGCAACCCGACUCCACGAAGCUGGAUUCGCUAGUAAUCGCGCAUCAGCCACGGCGCGGUGAAAUACGUUCCCGGGCCUU